AGGGUCUCCUGAAGGAACGUUAAAGACGAUGACGUUGAUAGGCCGGGUGUGUAAGCGCAGCGAUGCGUUGAGCUAACCGGUACUAAUGAACCGUGAGGCUUAACCUU
rnacentral:rRNA from 1 species